rnacentral:rRNA from 1 species
GAUGAACGCUGGCGGUAUGCUUAACACAUGCAAGUCGAACGGACUCUUCGGAGUUAGUGGCGGACGGGUGAGUAACGCGUGAGAAUCUGGCUUUGGGUUCGGGACAACCACUGGAAACGGUGGCUAAUACCGGAUGUGCCGAGAGGUAAAAGAGAAAUUGCCUGAAGAUGAGCUCGCGUCUGAUUAGCUAGUUGGUGAGGUAAAGGCUCACCAAGGCAGCGAUCAGUAGCUGGUCUGAGAGGAUGACCAGCCACACUGGGACUGAGACACGGCCCAGACUCCUACGGGAGGCAGCAGUGGGGAAUUGUCCGCAAUGGGCGAAAGCCUGACGGAGCAAUACCGCGUGAGGGAAGAAGGCUCUUGGGGUGUAAACCUCUUUUCUUAGGGAAGAACAAAAUGACGGUACCUAAGGAAUCAGCAUCGGCUAACUACGUG